GAGGCCCGGGCAGGGGCUCGCUGGGGGAACCGAUGCGGGGAAUACGUGCGUGAGGACACGUGAGGGCCGUGCCGGCCAGAGCCCCAGCGUGCGUGGCCUUGCGUGCGUGUACACGCACAUGUGUCCAGGUGCCUACGCAGGUGCCUGACCCUGGGCAAGUUGUUCCGUCACGCGGACCUCAGUUUUCUCAUCUGUCCGACGAAGGGAUCUUUCCGUCUCUGGCUGUUGGUGUUCCUUUAUCCACGACUGCUGAGCACGUUGGGUCCUCUCUUUAGAGCCAUCUCUGCUUAUUGAACAGAGCCAGGGAUUCCAGGCCUUUGAAUUGAUGCGGGGGAUGAGAAAACUGAGGCUUGGAAAGAUGGCAGAGCCAGAAUACUGUCCCCGGUGGUUGGACACCAAAGUCACUCAUUUUAAGCACUUAGGACAAGUGACUGAUGGACUGACUGAGUAAAGAAGGUUACCUUAGCAAGAAUGCUUGUCUGUUGGCGAGAGCACAUCUGGAGUUCUGAAUUGAGAUGCAGAUCCUGUGUAUAAGAAGGACAUAGGAAGAGCUGGAUGUCAGAGGGGGAGAAGUGGAGACUCCCACACCACGUUGUAGGAAGAACCUGCCUCAUGUUCGGGGUCUGCCUUCUCUUUCUAGGUAGAGGUAUCUAAAGAAACAGCCUGGCAUUGCCGUGUCACCACUGAGCAAGAGACCCCCUUCUCAUUAAGGAAUUUGGAGUGAAAUGACACAGCCCAUGAAAAAGUUCUCUGUGGAGUUAUCAGCAUUUUUUCAAAUAAAUUAUUUAUAUUUUUGGCACUAAAAUAGAUUUAGCAUGUCCUAGGAGUAUUGAUUGGCUUGGGCUGGAUUCUGUGUGGAGGCCCAGAGGGAGGAAAAGUCCUGGUUUUAAUGGAAGAAACAUCCCAGGCACAUGGGGGGAAAACCCAAAAACAAAAGCAGAGAAGCAUAAUGUACCCAGCCCUCCUCAAAGCACAUGGGACUGUGCACCAAACCGUGCACAGUUCUGGUGCUCAAGCAAGGUUGAAACAUAACCCAAACAUUGGCGAGCCCACAGGCCAACUCCCUACAUUUCUGGAAUGGUUUUGCUGAGAACAAGAAAUCCAUUUCAGCCACCAGAAUUCUCUUUAUUAUUUCCCACCCAGGCUGCCUCUUCUAUCUUGUAAUGGACAGGACCCAUCCCAUUCUGAGUGCAGCUCGGUGGUCUGAGCACAGAUGGAGGCCCACUUCCCUUCCUCUCCAGAACUUUUCAGGGAGGGUCCUGUAUUUAUUUUGAAAAAAGAUUUUGAGUCACUGUUGGGGAGGGUGACACCCAAGGGUAUGCUCAGCUGAAGGCUGUGAUAAAAGAUGCCCCCAGAACUGCUAUGUGUAGGAUAAGUAGGGAAAUUUGUGUUGCUUCUGAGAAAGAGGAGUAAGGAGAGGAAAAAAAGAAGUGAGGGGCAGCCAAGAGGUAGAAGAGACUGGCAGGGUUGGGGAGGGGGGUGAUCCUGACUCCUGAAAGGCUUAAUAUGUUAUUAAAAUAACCGAAUGGUUUGUGGGCAUGGCCUUGGGGUGAACGUGCCAGAGAAGGGGCUGUGUGUUGUACCUGCAUCAGAAUAGGAGAGGCCAGAGCCUGUGGCUGGGCUGCAGGAACUGCAAGAGAAGGUCUGAGCAUGAGUUAUGCUUGUUUCCUUGUUUAUUUCUCCUGUUGAACUUGAACUCCUUCCUUGGGGGGCUCUAUCUUACUUGUCUUAUGUAUUUUCAGUGGCAAUAUACUGCCUAAAACAGAGAAGGCCCUCAAUCAACACUGUUCAAAGGAAAGAAAGACAGAAGGAUAGACCUUUGCAGUAGAAUCUUUUAAUUUUGCAAGUAAUAAAGGAUAAAAGGUAAUUGAGAAUGCCUCAGAAACAGCGAAGUCCCAACAUUGAUUUCUUGUAAUCUACAGAUUCAUUCAAAGGAAAAUGAAAUCAAUUAAACUUUUCUUUAAAUCUUGUCUUCCUUAUCUUUGCAAGUCUAGUUCAGAUGGAUUGGUCUAGGUGCACCUGCUCCAUGUCUCUUCUGUGCUCCUAAUUGGGCAUCAUGGUACAUGAUCUAGAAUGAUGGGAAAUUAGAAUUGAGAAGAUGCAUUAGAAGUCAUUUAGAGAUAUUCUGAUCCCUGAACCUUAGCAUUAACCAUAACUCUGACAUUUAAGGGACCUUAAAUGUCAUUUAACAUUUUGUGUCUUUAGGGUUUGUUUGUUUGUUUUAUAAAAUGUCUUUUACUUUAAAAUGAGGCUUUCCUGGGUCUGUCAACAUAGAUGUGUGUUCCACAAAGGAAUAAACCUAAGUUAAGAGCAUGAAACAUGAUCAGUAUAAAAUCUGUGCUGAAAAAUGCUUUGCAAAUAUUUUACAAGAAAUAAAUGUUACUAUUUCAAACCACA